UGGUGAUGGUCAGGGAAAUUUCUGAGCAUAGCCUUGAAUCUUUCCCAGGAUUGGUAAAGAAUUUCUCUAUUUUUUUACCUGAAACUCAAAAUGUCACUUCUCAAACA
rfam:Capsicum annuum cultivar Zunla-1 chromosome 12, whole genome shotgun sequence